rnacentral:tRNA from 1 species
GUCAGGAUGGCCGAGUGGUCUAAGGCGCCAGACUCAAGGUCUAAACUCCUUCCCUGCAAUGGGUGUUCUGGUCUCCGAAUGGAGGCGUGGGUUCAAAUCCCACUUCUGACA